rnacentral:sRNA from 1 species
GAGGAGAAGGAAGGCAUGGAAAGUUCCAGCCGGUUCGAGAGCUAGGUUGUUUACAUUCAGAGCUCUAUCAAUAAGAGGAAUACAUAUUACAGUGAAUUCGACAACCGCACAAGUUGGCAGUUGAUAGGUAUAUCGAGAACAGCCAGAGACUGCUGCUACUUUGAAACGUACGAUAGAGGCCCUGAUGGACAGAGGAGCAAUAGUGAGGGACUUGGAAAACCUGGGUGAACGAGCGCUUCCUUAUAGGAUCUCUGCCCACAGUCAGCAGCACAACAGAGGCGGGUAUUUCUUGGUGGAUUUUUAUGCACCCACCGCAGCUGUUGAAAGCAUGGUGGAGCACUUGUCUCGAGAUAUAGAUGUGAUUAGAGGGAAUAUUGUCAAACACCCUCUGACCCAGGAACUAAAAGAAUGUGAAGGGAUUGUCCCAGUCCCACUCGCAGAAAAAUUAUAUUCCACAAAGAAGAGGAAGAAGUGAGAAGAUUCGCCAGAUUUUAGCCUUAUAUGUAAUUCCUUCACAUUUGGGCAGCAUGGACGAGAAGGAAGAGUUUGCAAGUUUGGCCUUUAUAUAAGCAUGUGUUGCAGGUGCUGUUUGAUUUUUCUAAGGUAUUUUUAGCCCUUGAUCCCCUUUGCUUGCGAGAGGUGGGGAACUGCUCACUGACAGCUUCUCUGUAACCUGCAGUACCAGUGGAUCAUUCUUGAUUUUGUUUUCAUUAGUGUCAUUUCUUUGUCAGUGAGGACUUUUCCCCUUACAACAGUAACACCAUUUUUUGAAGAGCAAAACUUGUAAUACCUCCUGGGAUUGUGAGCUAGUCAUUCAGCCUGUGUAACCAUGCGCAAAUAAAAAUUGACGACCAAUGUAUUAUAUGGACAACUUUUGCUUUGAGUAAUAAACUUGAUUGUAGGAAUGCG